AUUGAACGCUGGCGGCAGGCCUAACACAUGCAAGUCGAACGGUAACAGGAAGCAGCUUGCUGCUUUGCUGACGAGUGGCGGACGGGUGAGUAAUGUCUGGGAAACUGCCCGAUGGAGGGGGAUAACUACUGGAAACGGUGGCUAAUACCGCAUAACGUCGCAAGACCAAAGAGGGGGACCUUAGGGCCUCUUGCCAUCGGAUGUGCCCAGAUGGGAUUAGCUAGUAGGUGGGGUAACGGCUCACCUAGGCGACGAUCCCUAGCUGGUCUGAGAGGAUGACCAGCCACACUGGAACUGAGACACGGUCCAGACUCCUACGGGAGGCAGCAGUGGGGAAUAUUGCACAAUGGGCGCAAGCCUGAUGCAGCCAUGCCGCGUGUAUGAAGAAGGCCUUCGGGUUGUAAAGUACUUUCAGCGGGGAGGAAGGGAGUAAAGUUAAUACCUUUGCUCAUUGACGUUACCCGCAGAAGAAGCACCGGCUAACUCCGUG
rnacentral:rRNA from 1 species